UGACACAUUUUGUUGUCAGACGCUUGUGUACUAUUUGGGUGUCAACAGUAGUUUCUGCUGUGUGUACCUUGUUUUGUGCUAUGCUGUGGUGGAGUAUGGUGAUUUCGUUUCGCUGUGCUUUGUUUUUAUUGCGACAUGUGUCCAUUUAAGACUAUAAUGAAAGAGUGUAUGAAGGAAUUCAGCAUCGGAAACAAAGGCCAGUUUUGCGGCAUUUGUUCAUCCGAGGAAGAAAUCGAUUACCUUUUUACCAGGCUCAAAUGUGUUGGGUAUUCUUAUUCGGUGAGGAGCAGCGCUUAUAACAGAUUAUCCUCCGACGCUACAACCAGUAAACCACGAUUCUUCUUCAGUCAGUCACAAGGGACUAUUCAAAUCCCAUUUUUUGGGUCACCAUUUUCGGUUGAGUAUGUAAGCUACAGGCAAUGUACACUAGGUCCAAUGUACUAUGAUAAAAACGAGAUUCCUGUUCCUAAUCACCUGGUUGACCAUAUCAUCCCAAAUAAAAAGCGAAAGUUGUUUAUGGAUACCAAGAAAAGUGACUGUCCUGCCACAUUUUUAGUAAAAUGUGUCAGAGUUUAUCCUGGGUAUUUAGUCCUAUCAGAGAAUGAUCGCAAGACAAAAAAAAUGGUUAUUGAUAGCUUGAAGAAGCAUUUGGAGUUACCCAAUAAACCAGAAAGCUUUCUUCGCUUGUAUGUGGUUGCUUCACCACCAGAGCACCACACACACAGUGCAGCACAUAUGAAAACAAGUGGAGAUCUGCAUCCUCGACUAGCUUUGGAAAUACGGAACCAUGUCAAAAAUGGAACAACAUCAGUAAGAGAAAUAAAAUUGCUUCUUGAAAAGUUUGUUGAGACAAACUUCAGUGGGCCAGCUAGACCAGACCGCGUAAACACUGCAUUUUACCCCACAGACAAAACCAUUUAUAACCAUGUGUAUAGGACAAGGAAGAGAAUUUUUGGUGAAGAUUCAUUAGAGAUCCAGAUUGAUAAGGCAUAUGGAUGUGACUCAAGCAGCAGGUGUACUGCACCAAUUAAUUCUGUAAGAAAUGGUGUACAGAAUACCAGCAGAAGCGAUGAAAGGAACAAAAAGCACGCCAGUCCUGAAAAAUCAAGCUCUUGUUCAUCCCUGUCUCAAGAGGCAAGAGACAUAUGUAAAAAUAUUAUAGAGCUCACAUACAAUUGCAGUGAUGAAGCAAUAAAAAAACUUGUAGAUGACCUUAGAAAUGUGCAGCGUAGUGUAGAAUUGUCAGACCUUCCUUCAACAGUGGCAACAAAUUCUAAAAUAGAGAAACAUAUUUGAACAGUGAAAUUGGCACGAGGUAUCAAAUUUCACUGAAUAUGCUGCACUCAAAAGUCUGGAGCAACUCAAGAACCAGAAAAAACUUAAAACUGAUGUGUGUCUGAAGCAUCUAUGGUAACUCUGCUUCAGAGCAAAACCAGAUGUAGCUGUACAAUAAGAUGGUGGACCUGUGAAUCCUGAAGGGGCAGACAGAGCAACUCAACAAGUUUGUGGUGUGCAAAUUUUAUAUGUCAAGUGGCCAUAGUGGAGCUGCAGUCAGUUGUUUUAGCAAAAUGGAGGAUAUGAAGGGGCGUGCACAAGUGGUAGGUGGUAUGCAGAGACAAAAUCGGCGACCCAUGUGCAAAGAAACUUUUGUCGAGUUUACAACAAAGCACCCCCGUUGUUCAAGACUAUAAAGAAGUGGUGUGAUCAGUUUUUGGCUACUAGGAGUGUUGCGAAAGGGCAUGGUGGUGGUAAGCCUGGGAUCAGCAGACAUCAUGUGGAACAAGUGCGACGGUCAUUCGAAAAAAGUCCACAGAAGUCAGUGCGACAGGCAGCAUGAGAACUUCGUAUGAAACGUUCAACAGUGCACAAAGUGCUUCAUCAGCGAUUACGUUUGUAUGCAUAUAAAGUGCAGGUUGUGCAAGAAAUCAAGCCUGAUGAUUGACCAAAGCGAGAAGAAUUUGCAUGUGUCAUGUUAGAUCGCAUUGUCGCGGACGAGACGUUUUUAUCAUAAUGUUUACUGACGAGGCAACCUUUCACUUGUCAGGGGCUGUCAAUCGUCACAAUGUGCGCAUCUGGGGGUCCGAAAAUCCACAUGCACCUAGGGAACACAUGCGCGAUAGUCCGAAAGUUAAUGUGUGGUGUGGUUUGAUGAUAAAUCGCAUUGUUGGGCAGUUUUUCUUUCAGGAGCCGACUGUGGAUGGAGCCAUCUACCUGGACAUGUUGGAACAAUUUGCCGUGCCACAGAUAAAAGACCUGCAGCCAAAUGUGAUGUUUCAACAGGAUGGUGCACCACCCUAUUGGAGUUUUGAUGUCCGAAAAUUUUAAAUGACACAUUCCCGCAAUGAUGGAUUGGCCGUGGAGGUCCAAUUCCUUGGCCGCCACGUUCGCCCGACAUAACCCCCCUCGAUUUUUUCUUAUGGGGUUAUGUAAAAGAGCGGUUAUACGCUACACCAGUAAAGGACCUGCAAGACUUGAAACAGCGCAUAAGAAUUGUCAUCAACUCAGUGACAGAAAAGAUGCUCCGCAACACAUGGCACGAAAUUGGUUGUAGACUUGAUAUUCUUCGUGCUACCCGUGGCACCCAUGUUCAAGUGUACUGAACCGUCCACCUGUGUAUGAAAACUUGAUGAGCUGCUGUAUGAUUUCCCUGUAUUUGUUCGUCAAUAAAUUGUGUUUCCUCUCAGAUUUAUGAGUUCAAAUGUUGGAGUCUCAUUGUGGACACCCUGUACUAUGAUACAGCCAUUGAGUGUCCAGCAGAGUGUGCGUGCAAUAAACUUCAGUAAGACAGACAACAGUAAACAUUACAUAAGAAAGUAAACUGUAAACUAUAAAUAAAAUGGAGAAAGAUUCAAAGACAGUGACAAACCCAAGCGAACAGAAAGCAGCAGUGCCUGGCACAGUGAAGAAGGCUGGAGGCAUACGUAGUAGUUGAGGCGAUAACAGAUGGCGCCAGCAGAAGACUGUACAUGCAAUAUCAUGAAUAUGUUAAUGAACAAAUCCAAACAUUGAGGCUGUCCCUGAUUAAACUGGAGAAGAAAGAUAUGUCGUCUUCUCCAGUUAUGAGGAUUCCGUUGAUGAUAACAGUUACGCGAAUGAAUCAGUUGACAUGUUUAGUUUGCCACAAAUAAAGAAAAUACCGAAUGAAACAUUUAAAAAGGCUGUUAACACUGCGUUCACAACAUUGUUCGUGGCUAAUAAUGGAAUACCAAUGUUCGCAACACAAAAUCAGUGUUCCAUGACUGCGUCGGUAGAGAUCAAAGAAACAUUGUUCGUGGCGUGCCACCACUAAAUUACACUAUGGAGUGCUAGCGUUUGUUUGCUCGGAGAGAGUGUUUUGGUGUUUGUUGUGUGAGUGGUGGGGUGUUUAUUUUAUUUUCCUUCAUUUUUGUUUAAAAUGGAGUGGUCACGAGACAAAAUUUUCCAGUUGAUAUUAUUCUUUGAGGCAAAGGAGUGCCUGUGGAAUGUACAUUGUGGAGGUUACAGAAUUACUAAAAUCAAACAUGAUUCAUUACAAAAAGUUCCUGCCGUGCUUGGCAGUGAUAUGGACAAAAAAAUUAAAUCUCUCUUGUCUCAGUAUCGAUGAGAGGAAAGAAAAAUAGAGGACAGUAAAAAAUCUGGAAGUGGUACUGACACACUACAAAAUGAGUGGGACACAACUCUGGGGUAAACAAGGUUAUGCUUGCAAAUGAUUAUUUUUAUUCUCGUGUAAAACAAUUUGAGCUGUAAUUAUUUUGCCAUGGAACAGCUCCUUGUGGGCUCAUGAAGUAGUUAGCAAAUUCGUUGUGAAUUUCCUUGAGUGUUUGAGAAGUUCUCCAUGGUAUAUUUGGGAGUGCAGUAAUAGAGGAUGCAUUAGCAUUGGUUUGCGGAAGACACGAAACACUGAGGUCAUAAUACCAAAUGUGUUUUCCACACUCAUCCUUGCCCUUGACAAUCUAUAGUUAUAGACUCUCUCUUUUGGGCCUUUCUGGAUACGGCUUCAUGAUAUUUUCCUGUAUUGGAAAAGCAUCAUUUGCCGUGAAUAUGUAUGGUACUGGCCUUGUCCCUCCAGGUAAACACUCGUGAGGUGGCAUGUUCAGUUUGUUUUUGUGAAUUAGUUCACUUAGGCAUUCUUGAAAACACAUCCAUCAGAAAUCCUCCCUUGGCAGCCAACAUCAGCAUAUAAAAAGUAGUAGUUGGCGUCAACUACAGCAAGCAACACAAUGCAAAAUGAUCCUUUAUAAUUAUAAAACUUGCUCUCACUAGCAACAGGGCACUGUAGGAAAGUAUGCUUCCCUUCAAUUGCUCCCACGCAAUGAGGGAAGUGGAGUGCCUGGCGGAACAUACUUUCUUUUGAAUGCCAUUCAUCUUCAGUAGCUGGCAUCUGAAACAAGGAAAUUUGACUUCAGGUUUCGCAAGAGGUACCUCAACCUGCAGCAGCUGAAACAGAGGAACUUGCAGCGAAAUAAGAAGAGGACAGCACACCACCUCCACAAAAAUGGGUUAGGAGGGGGGUUGGAAGAAGCAACCCCAUAUUUAAUGCAGCAGAAAUGUUGCAUAGCAGCAGCAACAACUACAGGACUCGGCAACAGAUAUGGGAAAAUUUCGUCACUAAGUUGAAAGAGCUUCCAUCCUAUGAAAGGGCGGUGGCUACUAGACGAAUAAGUGAUGUGCUGUACAAGGAGGGACUGAAUGCUCUGAGGAAGCAGCAGAUUAAUAAACAUAGAUGAAGCAGGAUCAUCAGCUUCAACUUCAACUGCAGAUUCCCAUCACAUUCAGUGGCAGCAAAUCUGAUUUGGAUUCUGAAGAAAUUAU